GGAGCUGCCCGGGAGAACAUGGAGCGCCCAGCCCGGCCGGGGAUGCUCGGGGAGGCGGGAGGCGGGCAGGAGUGGCUGGAGGAAGGGAGGAGCAGUUUUACAGCCGUAAUUCCACUCUUUGGUGAGGCUGGACAGGCUUCCUUGUCUCUUGCAUUUCUCAGGGGUGCCUGAUGUUAAAAGUCCUGCCAGUGAAGGAUUGCUCUCUUUGGAGUGGAGCACAGAUCCUCCCAGCACUCUGAUGUUAACCUCUCUGUCAGUGCCUGAGAAGUGAGUAACGCUUGUGAUCCAGGUCUGCUAGCACAGGUACUUUUGCAAAAAGCAAGAACAGCAUUUAUGCUAUAGCCCUCAGUAUUAUUCCCUUUGUGCUUGUAAAUUAAGCAAACUUUUACUUUUAAAACUUUCCCAACUGAUGCUGUUCUGUAACUAAACAGAUCAGCCAGCAGUUCUGCUGAGGCACAUUGAGGAGGUGUGAAAGGAAGAGAAAAAAGAAAAAAGAUAGUUGUUGCAAGGAAUGACCCCGUGCAUUCACUUGUAAUGUUUUUACUGGCUUACUCUUAGAUAUAGAAGGGUAUUUUUCCAGCAAAAAACCCAUCCAUGUAGAGAGUAUUUGAUUAUAAGUAAAUAAAAUGAAAAUGCAUCUCUUCAGUCUGGAUGCUUUUGAGCAGCUGCACAUUUCACAUUGAUCAGGGCAGAUUAAGAAAAAGAAGAGGUCACUGUAGCCUAAUUUAAUAAUGCAAGUAGCAGUGGCUGCAAAGUUUUUCAGAAUUGAUUUUCAUUUUUACGAAAUUAGAUCUUUUAGGAGAAAAACUGAAGAUGUGCCAGUGUUAGAUAAUUCACUGCACUUUACAGUAAAUGGUUCAGACUCUGCUUUUACCAUGGCUUAGAAUACACAGGGGUUUUGUUGAAUUUUUUUUCUUUUAAUGUUUUCUGGCUUCAAGCUGUGAUAGCUUUUCCAGGUAUACAGAAAGAAGUUCCUGGUUUUUUUCUUCCCUAUUGCUACUACACAUAUUUUAUAGUCUUGCAAGUCCUUAGUUCAGUAACUUAGCUCCUUAAAUAAACUCCAGUAAAUAAAAUUGGCCGACCUUGGUGAUAUAUUUCAUUGAGAGAGAUUUUCUAAUUGCUCAGUGAUUUUCAUAUCCCUUUUCAGGUUUAUCUCUAUUUUGUCAACGUAUCAAAACUAGAUGUGCUAUUUCAGAGUCAGCAGCAAUUCUAGAUGUGAUACCACAUCUUUCCUCCUUGUGAUUUUUCAGUUUGUACAUCUGAGGUUACAGGAAAGUUGGGGUUUUUUGUGGGAGGGCCACUUCUUGGCAGUUGGUACUUCACCAACAUUUUUCCUUUUCAUUUUUCAUUUCCCAGGAUAAAAUCUCAGGUCAGGUAAGUAUAGACUCCAGUCUUUGCUUUUAAAUUAAUGAGCUCAUCAAUGACCUUAUUGAAAUGCAUAUUUGCUUGCCCCAGCUGCAACACGAUCAGGUCACCCUGUCCCAGUAUCUUCUCCAUGUCAUUAUUUACCCUUCCCUCGUGUCAUCUGUGAGGUUUAUCAGCAAUACUCUGCUUUCUUCCAAGUCACUGAUAAAUAUAUCAAGUAUUUAGAGUCCAGGAUUAAUCCCAGACAGACCCAAAAUAUGCCUUUGUAGACAGCUACGUUAUGAGGUGGUGGUGAGACAGCUUCAUGUUCCAGAAAGUGGGGCAUAUAGACAGAAAUUUCUUAAAUCAAAUGUAAUUUCUGAUUUUUUUUAAAUUAAAAAUUA